CCUACGGGUGGCAGCAGUGAGGAAUAUUGGUCAAUGGGCGGGAGCCUGAACCAGCCAAGCCGCGUGAAGGAAGAAGGCGCCAGGCGUCGUAAACUUCUUUUGUCGGGGAACAAAGGGCGCCACGCGUGGCGUUGUGAGUGUACCCGAAGAAAAAGCAUCGGCUAACUCCGUGCCAGCAGCCGCGGUAAUACGGAGGAUGCGAGCGUUAUCCGGAUUUAUUGGGUUUAAAGGGUGCGUAGGCGGAUUUUUAAGUCAGCGGUAAAAUGUCCGGGCUCAACCCGGGCCGGCCGUUGAAACUGGGGAUCUUGAGUGGGCGAGAAGUAUGCGGAAUGCGUGGUGUAGCGGUGAAAUGCAUAGAUAUCACGCAGAACUCCGAUUGCGAAGGCAGCAUACCGGCGCCCGACUGACGCUGAGGCACGAAAGCGUGGGGAUCGAACAGGAUUAGAUACCCGGGUAGUC
rnacentral:rRNA from 1 species